UGUUAGUCUAGUUGGUAAAGGGGAGAAGUGUGGCGAAACCAACCUCGCCACUGUGAACUGGAGAAGCCUGGUUGCUCGCCUGCUCCCUUUGGACUAUGGCCCUGCAGGUUAAACUGUGUAUUUCCCCUGCAGAAAGGCUUAUUUGUGUGAUCUGAGUGCCAUUCAUCUAAUAAUGUGCACUCAGAUCCCAGCUAUCUGGGGAUAUGUGAAAUGUCUGUG